rnacentral:antisense_RNA from 1 species
CUUAAUGACGGGCUACACGGGCAACCGAAAGGUUGGCCGUUGUCCUUGGCGGUAUUGCGACCCCGUGUAGCCUGUUGCCAUU